UAAUAAGUGUUUUUAUGGCACUUUUUAAAUCCAUAUCCACCUUGUGUGCAAUGUCAGUCGAUCUUCUUCAUGGAGAUCGACCAAAACAUCAACCUUUAUCUUUUAACUCUUUGUCUGAAAAAAUAUUAUGAAUAAACAAUUCAAAAAUA
rnacentral:misc_RNA from 1 species